UACGAAGGGUGCAAGCGUUACUCGGAAUUACUGGGCGUAAAGCGUGCGUAGGUGGUUUUUUAAGUCCGUUGUGAAAGCCCUGGGCUCAACCUGGGAAUGGCAGUGGAUACUGGAAAGCUAGAGUGCGGUAGAGGGUAGUGGAAUUCCCGGUGUAGCAGUGAAAUGCGUAGAGAUCGGGAGGAACACCAGUGGCGAAGGCGGCUACCUGGACCAGCACUGACACUGAGGCACGAAAGCCAGGGGAGCAAACGGG
rnacentral:rRNA from 1 species